UACGGGAGGCAGCAGUGGGGAAUAUUGCACAAUGGGCGAAAGCCUGAUGCAGCUAUGCCGCGUGUAUGAAGAAGGCCUUAGGGUUGUAAAGUACUUUCAUCGGGGAGGAAAAACAAAACUAAUAAUUUUAUUUCUUGACGUUACCCGAAAAAGAAGCACCGGCUAACUCCGUGCCAGCAGCCGCGGUAAUACGGAGGGUGCUAGCGUUAAUCAGAAUUACUGGGCGUAAAGAGCACGUAGGUGGUUUUUUUAAAGUCAGAUGUGAAAUCCCUGGGCUUAACCUGGAACUGCAUUUUGAAACUGAAAUACUAGAGUAUCGUAGAGGGAGGUAGAAUUCUAGGUGUAGCGGUGAAAUGCGUAGAUAUCUGGAGGAAUACCUGUGGCGAAAGCGGCCUCCUAAACGAAUACUGACACUGAGGGUGCGAAAGCGUGGGGAGCAAACAGGGAUUAGAUACC
rnacentral:rRNA from 1 species